CCUUUUGAAGGACCUGGCCCUAAUGUUUCAAGUGUAUAUUAAAACCUUCUACUCAAUCUUUUAAAGUUUGCUUUUCUUAGCUUCCUCCUUAAUCUUCUCCGUGUUAUUCCCCCCCUUAAUAGUCUGAAGUUCUAUAAUACAGUUUUUUAUUGUUAUUAUUCAUUCCAGCUUAACCUUAGACCUCUCAGCUGGUGUUAGAUUGUAAUCCUGGUACUUAAAUCUUUUACAGCUUUGGAAGUGAGCAAUGAUCUGAAAUUUGAGCCUUACAGCGGGCUGAGGAAGGGUUCUUUCUUUCUCUCUUAAGAGAAUUUGAAGUACAAAAUUAGAAGGAAAAAAAGAAGCUAAUUAGAGCUGACCAAUGGCUUAAUUUAUUGUACAGUAUCUGUUACUCCCAGUCUCUUUCUUGGUCUCACUUGGACUGGGAAAUAGAUGUGAUCUCAAGGAGAUUUUAGUUUGGUUUGUUGCAUGUCUUUCUUUUCAUUACUAAAAAUACAAAGAUGACUCACAGGGAGGCCCUGCCAUCAGCUGCAGCUAUGCAGGACAGCAACAGAGAUCAACAGCUGGAUAAAAGAUGUGUAUGAUGCCUUGUCUUGUGCCCCAUCUCUUUUUUCCUUGAGCUGAAGGACUGGACUAUUCUUCUGUCCUAACUGGUAGAAGCAAAUGAUCCCAGAGUUGCCAGUAAUUGAAUACUUCCCAGAUUUGAUCCAAAGCCCAGAAAGACUCCCACUGAGUUCAGUGAGUUUAGAAUUGCAGGUGAGGUUUUGAAAGGGGCUUGGAGACUCAAAUCUUAUUGACAGUCAGUGGGAGCUGGACAAUGAAAUCUUGCAGGCACGUUUCAAACUCCUGUGCUCAGUACACAAACUGGGUUCUGGACCUUUGAAUGGGAUGGGUGGUAUAACUUUGAUCAGAGAGAGCUACAAGGAUGGUAGAAAGUAGAUGUCUUUGUCCAGACAUGGAUCUGGUAAUGAAGCAGGAAGUUCAUUAGGAAAAUCUACCCAUUUGUUAGGGGCACAGGAGGGCAGCAACAUGGCUAGAUGGCACCUUUAGGUAUCCUCUCUGCUUCCAUUCCCUGCCCUCUUCACAUCUGAUUGAGUGUGAGGUGCUGAGCACCCGCAGCUCCCAUGGGCUCAUAGGCAAGAACAGAAUCACAGCAAUGACCCGGGAAGCCUCCACUGUGGUUGGUGAUUCCAGAUCCAUCCUAGCUUCCAGGUAAUUGGUUUGGCAGCGGGUCCUGCAAGCACAGCUUGUGACCUGAAGUUCUGGUUUUGUCCUUGCUGACUGUCACGACACCACCAGUUAUACAAAGUCUACCACGAAGCCUGCCUUGAAAGUCUUCGCCAUUGUGGAACUGCACCCAGGAUGCUCUGAAUCCAACUCAUUGCUGCUUACUCUGCACUGGCCCCUUGUUCAAAAUGAAAAAUUGUUGACCCUUUCUUAUCUGUUCCCACCUGUGGAGCUUCGUUCCUCUAGCGCCCAUGGGUUUUGGUGGCCUUUGAUGCAUGGCGACUGGUGCAGGUAUUUGGCCUAGCUUUUGACUUUGCACUGACCAAUUAGACUGUAACACUUCUGUAGAGCUGUAAAAUGUGUCUUGGCAGCAGUAAUGGUGCCUUUUCAGUGAUCCUUUUUUGGGUAGCUUUUGUAUCACUUAAUUCAAGGGAGUCUGACACAGAGAACAACAUCUGUGAAGUAGGAGCAUCACCUUUUUCCGUCAUUAUGUUCUGACCCAAAGCCACUCUUCUGAGUUCUGUCCCUUUUUGCUGUCUGGCUUUGGAAGAGGCUUUCUUGGUGGUAAGAGGCCAGAAGCUUCCUUGCCCACAGGCAGCAGGGUUGGUGCAGCAGUGAGACCAACUUCAUUCCAGAAAUAUUCAAAAUCCAGAUGAGAGUUGCAAAUGACCUCUGUCUCUAGACUUGACCAAUCCUCAGCUUAGCAUCCAAACAUAACUGAAUACGGGAGAUUUUAGUAUUAGAGCUGGAUAUACAUGGGGACUUAGGGUCUGCUGUACUUGGAGCAUUAGUUCAAUGCUCCCUUCCAGCCUGGGGUAAGGAUCCAGACUGAGUGCUCUGAACCUAGGCAACACCAGCUGUCGGCUGCUCUGCUUUCCUCAUGGCGGAGGCAGUCCUGCUAGAGAGCUCACCUCAAGUGCUCUAAGUCCAUUUGGAGGCCUGGGUCUCUGCAUAUUGUUGAGUCUGGAGGAACCACGGGGAAAGCCUUUGGGACAGGUCUGGAAAGCAGUGGGGAGUGUUGGCUUUGGCACCACUACGGGAUGUCUUUCUGCCACAAUCAAUUCCUGUGUAUUUCCAUGUUCCUCUUUAGGUGUCAGUCUCCCAACUGUGAAGUGCACCUUAUAGUUGCCUCGCUGUCGGGAUGCUAGACCUGCAAGAAGGGAGACAGAAGGUCUCCAGGCCAAGACUGACUUAUGCCCUCUUCCCACUCUUUUUCACAGACCUGCAAGGGAGCACAUACAUUUUGGUGGGCUAGCUUGGAAGCUGCUGGAUGCUGAUAUGGGGGGAGGGUAAGGGGGUGGAGGAAGAAUUGUGUGGCUUUCAUGCAGGCAUAGUAAGUUGUGCCACUGAGCAAGCAGUCAUUGUAGAGAUGCACUCUGCCUUAAAGAGCAAAUGAGCCAGGUCAUCAGACAGUGACAUUUUACAAUGUUGUCAUCUUCAGUGGAGCUGAAACAGUAGUGCCAAUUGUUUACCUAGAGGAAAAUUUGACCCAGUGUCUCUACAUCCCACCCUUUAUUUUUGUGUUUCAGUAAAUUCUGGCUUUUCCAUUACUAUAUCUAUUUAACUAGAUACCUACAUGAUGCCCAUCCUAGUUUUAUUCAAACCCUCUCUCCUCUCUUCCCCUCACUGCCCCUUCUCAGUAUGACUCUGGCUUCUGAGAACCAUAAUUUAGCUCUACAACAUCACUGCAUGUACAAGAGGCAACACUUGCAUAAAAGCUUUAUUUCUGCAUCAGGAGCGCAUGACCAUGAUAUCCAAAGUCAAAGUGGAGACUUCUACAAGUGUUGCUAGGAGCCUUGGAUGUGCUGUUUAGAAAUGAUUUGAGCCCUGGGAAAAUGAAACCACGUGCCAGAAUCCCAGCAAGUUGGGUUCUUGGAAGGGCUCUCUUUUCUACUCAGGCUUUGCUUCUGUAUAUUAGAAAUUCUGGCGUCAAAGGGAAUGUCUACAUGAGAUGUUUAAUGCGCAGAAGACUAAUUCUACUGCACAUUAGCAUGGGGGGCAAAGCCCGUGCUAAUGCACAGUAGAUUUAGUCUAAUAUGCAGUAGUGCCACAAAAAAUGUUCAUCUGUGCUAAUGUGCAGUAGUGCUGAUUAUAGUGCAUUAAGUUAAUACCUAUCAUUACAGGUUCUAAACUUAAUGCACCAUAAUUACAGCGCAUUAAUAAACAUAUAGACGCAUCCAAAGAGAUGUGGGUAAUGGUGUAGGCUCCAAAUUAGAGUUGAUUAAAAAUUAAUUUACAAAGCGUGAUAGGAAUCAGACUGUUUAUUUUUUAAGAAAAUCCGUUAUUUUUCAGUAAAUUCUCCAGCAAUGACUCAUAGACACCAAGCAAGCAGAGAAGGACCAGGAAAUGAAUUUAACCAGUCUAGUCUGGGGUGGCAUAAUAAGAAAACAGGUGACAGAUGAGGAGAAAAGUAAAUUAAGUUUUUAAAAUGUCCCUUGUUAGAACGUGGAAUGUAUUAUAACACUCACCUCCGUGGGCCUAAGGUAAAGGUGCUGGGAUGGGAGUCAGGAGUCCUGGGGCCCGAUUCUCCAGUGCCCUGCACUUUAAGUCAUUGGGUGCACUAGUACCAUUCUGAACUGGAGUAUUUUGCACUCACUUUACACUUGUGUCAGUGAAGACACAGGUCACAUUUCAUGCCACCUCUUAGGUGUGUAGAUGAUUGCAGGCACCUAGAUGCGAUUCUAUCCUACCCUCCUUGAGUCCUGAAAAAAAAGUUACUGCAAAUAGUAGGGUGGGUCUUUGAGUCGCAGAAAAGCAAUGAGAGGACAGUCUUAAGGGUCAGAUGACAGUGGUACAAAGUAGAAGCAUUCAUGGAUUUUUUAGGACAUGAGCAGGAUGGACUAGAACUGCACUUAGGUGCCUAAAUUGAAUUACACACCUCAGAAGUGGACCAGAAGCUGGCCAGG